CCCAGAUGUUGGCUACAUCUCUGGCCAACUGGCCAGAUGUGCUCAGCACCACAGGCCUCUCAGGAACUGGAAGGCUGAGGAAUUGGAGACAACCCUCAGGUGUCUAUGUGACACCAUCCAGCCCCAAGCUGAGAGGACUAUAACCAAUGAGGUCACAGGGUCACCAGGUUGUGUUCAAGCCACACACUUCACACAAGGACCAGCAGCCUGAGGCUGAAGCCGCUAUGAGACUGGAGACUGGGUUCUGCCUUUUAGACCCUGGGUUUUCUUGUCUCUGCAAGUGGUGACAGGGCCAGCCUCAGCAGACAGUCAUGGCACCACUGUGGUUAGAAUCAUAGGGAACUGAAUGACUGUCCCUCAUGUGUCCAUGGAGCACAGAGCACAAGGUCAUGGUGGGCAUCUAGGGUAGAGCUGUGCUGUCCUCACACUUAGGUGAAGUAGUCCCAUCUACAGCUGCACACACAGGGGGAUAGAGAGACAUCUGUCAUCUCGUUAGCUGCCCUGGACUGACUUGGGGUAUUUUCUCCGGAGCUGUAGGUUAGGGCAGGACUCCUCGCAGGGCUCCAGCUGAUCCUGACUCUAAUGUUCUCCAUGUAGCACUUGCUCUUCCUGAGUCCCAGGCACUACUGUCUUACCUAUGAUCUUUAAAGCUACAGGUCAAGGGCACAGACACAGACCUCCUUAAGAGUCCAGGCUCCCAAGGAGGCAGGCGGCUGAUCUGUUCCCAGUCAGGUUUCUCACAAGCUGUGUGACCUUGAGCUCCACAUCUGAUCCAAGUCUCUGUUUCCUCAGUUGUGAAAUGGAGAUGACUUGUGGGGCUUUAUUGAGGAGUCACAUGGGAUGGUCCUGGCAGCAAGGAGUCACUGAGUCCUUUUCCCAAGAGGCAGCAGGAGGUCUCCCUCCUGAAGACACUUUGCCUCACCUGCGUGUCCCACGAGCCCCGCUUCCGUCAUCAUGUUCUCUGCCAAAGCCCGUUGGGGGAAGUCCAGUCUCCCGCAACAGCAGCCCAGCCACCCUUGCUAGGUUCCCGAGAUGCCUCCAGGGUCUGGGCUUUUCUCCAGCACGUGGCUCCCUGCUACCAUCCGAGAAGUCCCGGAUGCUGAGGACUUGCCCUGGAGGAUUGCCGACACACGGACAUUUAUGUCUUCCCCACGGGAAAAAACACCCCAUUAGAAGGCUGUGUGCCCUUGGGCAAGUAGCUCCCUGUUUCUGGGCUCGCUUUGCUCAUCUGUUAAGCAACUUCGUGUUGGUGUGUACCCAGGGAAUGAACAGAAAGCAUGAGCAGAGUCUGGCUGGCACCCAGGAGCAGUAAAUACCAAGGAUUGAUUAUCGUAUUUUGGCAAAAGUCUGGUUCCUCAUAGGAUCUCCAGGGAGCUGCAGCGGCCGGUACCAGAGGAAGGGCUACUGGAAAUGGCUCCAGGGCAUCAAAUUCUGUAAGAGAGGAUCAGGGUGGAUGCCCAUUCUACAGAGGGAAAACUGAGGCUCCUGACAGAACAGUGGCUUACCCCACUGGCUUCCCACUGCAUCCUUCUGCCUUAGCUUCUCACAAGCCUGUCAUUCAGCUCACCAGAUUCUCUCUUGGGGACACAGGAGAACUGUCUGCCCCUGUGUUGUGGGUUCUCAGAGCUCUGAGAGGCUGGGUUCCCAGCCUCUCAGUGGGAAUUCUAGCACAUGAAGCAAAGAGAUGAAGAACGUGUAGCUGAGAAGCUGAUGAUGCUGUGCAUUUGUUGACAGUCGGACGAUUGUCUCCAUCACGUGGCAACGAAUGGCUGUCAGAGGCAGAAACAAAGUCAGUCGUACAGAUCUCUCUCUCUCUCUCUCUCUCUCUCUCGCUCUCUCUUAAA
rnacentral:sRNA from 1 species